UACGGGGGGGGCAAGCGUUGUUCGGAAUUACUGGGCGUAAAGGGCUCGUAGGCGGCCAACUAAGUCAGACGUGAAAUCCCUCGGCUUAACCGGGGAACUGCGUCUGAUACUGGAUGGCUUGAGGUUGGGAGAGGGAUGCGGAAUUCCAGGUGUAGUGGUGAUAUGCGUAGAUAUCGGGAGGAACACCAGUGGCGAAGGCGGCUCUCUGGGCCUUUCCUGACGCUGAGACGCGAAAGCGUGGGGAGCGAACCGG
rnacentral:rRNA from 1 species